UACGUAGGGACCGAGCGUUGUCCGGAAUCAUUGGGCGUAAAGAGCGUGUAGGCGGCCACUUAAGUCCUGCGUGAAAUCUUGCGGCUCAACCGCAAGCGGUCGUGGGAAACUGGGUGGCUAGAGUGCGGGAGAGGAGAGUGGAAUUCCUGGUGUAGCGGUGGAAUGCGCAGAUAUCGGGAGGAACACCUGUGGCGAAAGCGGCGCACUGGACCACAACUGACGCUGAGGCGCGAAAGCUAGGGGAGCAAACAGG
rnacentral:rRNA from 1 species